GUCGCUUGUUUAUCAAAAACAUGUCUUUUUUGAAUAUAAUUUAAAGUCUGACCUGCCCACUGAAAAAUUUUGAAGGGCCGCGGUAUAUUGACUGUGCAAAGGUAGCAUAAUCAUUUGUCUUUUAAUUGAAGGCUAGAAUGAAAGGUUGAAUGAAGUAUUAACUGUCUCAUUUUAAAAAUGUUAAAAAUUUAAUUUUUAAGUCAAAAAGCUUAAAUUAAAUUAGAGGACGAGAAGACCCUAUAGAUCUUUAUAAUUAAUGUUUUUAUUAGGAGUAGAAAAUAAUUUUUAUUAAAAAUGUAAAUUAUUUUAUUGGGGUGAUAGGAAAAUUAAUUAAACUUUUUUUAUAAUUUAAACAUUGAUUUAUGAUUAAUUGAUCCAUUAUUUAUGAUUAAAAAUUUAAGUUACCUUAGGGAUAACAGCGUAAUUUUUUUAGAGAGUUCUUAUCGAUAAAAAAGAUUGCGACCUCGAUGUUGAAUUAAAGGUUAUUUUUAGAUGCAGAAGUUUAAAGUUUAGGUCUGUUCCGCCUUUGAAUCUUUACAUGAUCUGAGUUCAAACCGG
rnacentral:rRNA from 1 species